rnacentral:rRNA from 1 species
UACAGAGGGUGCGAGCGUUAAUCGGAAUUACUGGGCGUAAAGCGUGCGUAGACGGUUAUUUAAGUCGGAUGUGAAAGCCCCGGGCUCAACCUGGGAAUUGCAUUCGAGACUGAAUAGCUAGGGUACGGUAGAGGGAAGCGGAAUUUCCGGUGUAGCGGUGAAAUGCGUAGAUAUCGGAAGGAACAUCAGUGGCGAAAGCGGCUUCCUGGACCAGUACCGACGUUCAGGCACGAAAGCGUGGGGAGCGAACAGG